rnacentral:piRNA from 1 species
UGGCAUUGAACUAAAGCCUUUUGUUUGCGU